rnacentral:rRNA from 1 species
GUGGGGUAAAAGCCUACCAAGGCCACGAUCAGUAGCCGACCUGAGAGGGUGAUCGGCCACAUUGGAACUGAGACACGGCCCUUACUCCUACGGGAGGCAGCAGUGGGGAAUAUUGGACAAUGGACCAAAAGUCUGAUCCAGCAAUUCUGUGUGCACGAUGAAGUUUUCGGAUCGUAAAGUUCUGUCGCAGGGGAAGAUAAUGACGGUACCCUGUGAGGAAGCACCGGCUAACUAC